CAAACAACAACAACAAAAACAUGUAUUGAAGCUGUUUAAUCUGAUAUGUAUAAAAACCUUCAGUAACUUUUUUUUUUUUUUUUUUUUCUUCUCUUUAAGAAAUAAUCAUUUUCAGGAAAUACAGAAUGUAUGUUGUACUAUUUCAAUUCUUCCUCAACUUCAAUGACAUUUAUUUCAAGACUUUAGAUAUCCUCUUUUAAUAAAACGCAACGUAUAUAUAUAUAAGUGACUGUGAAUGUGAACAUUCAUCUUCAUCCUUGCAUUUUAUAGAUGAUUGUACACUGAAAUUUUCUUCAUAUUCCUUGUGAUGAUAUCCACUCUGGAAGGAAAAAUAACUUUUCUCUCUAUAAAGGCAAAAGAAACAUUAAGUGAUGCCUUGCUUUUCAGUUUGAAUGAACAAAAGGAAAAUAAAUGGUGUGCUAAUAUUGGAAAGCCAGCUACAAAGAAAAAUACAAUGGAUAUUAGAAAGGAUCUUUGACAAGUGAAGAAGAAUGGCAGUGUUAUAAAUUGCAUCUAAUUUUCAGAAACAUGAGUAAACAGAGCCUUCGGCUUGAUUUCUGGAAUGAACUGGAAUAAUUCAUAUUGACUUAAUUCAGAAGGACUGUGGGGACUUCAUUACAUAAUGCAGAGAUACUCUGAAAUCUCUAAGACCAAAAAAAGUCCUACUGCAGCAUGACAAGUUCUUACAAUGAAAAAUACCAAAAAUAGUCAAAGAGAACCUCAAGAAUAUAUAUUCACCAUUAAAUUUCAAAGAUUAAGAUUUCUUGUUUUAAUAGUCCCCAAGAGCAAUGAAAUUUAAUUGUACAUAAUGGAAUUAACUGUGAUUCUAAAAUAUAUCAGUUUACCAUCUUUUCCAUGGUUUGCAUCUAUCCCCUCUUUAAAACAGACAGGCUUUUCUGAAAUAUCUGUAAGAUUUAUGCUAAAUAAGGUUUUUGAGUAGGGAUCCAAUUUUCCUGAUAGUUCAAAAGGAUCAUGACAUAGAUAAGAUUGAAUGAAGUGUAAUUAAUAUUGAUGUUCUUCAUUACAGGGCCCAAAAUCUAGAGCUUGUGUUGCUCACAGAGAAGGGCAUGCCCUUCAGAAAGAGGCACUUCGAUUUUAUAAUGGUGGAAAUGAAGUGACAGAAGGGACACAGUAGCAAAGAAUCACAUACAGAGGCAAGAGAAUGACAGAGAAGCAACCUCUAAACUGCUGUAACUAUGGCAGUUUAUGUCAGACAAGAAUUAAACUGAUAGCUAUAAGGAAUAUAUUCCACUAUUGAAACUGAAAACAGUUAAGAAGAGUUGCAUUUGAGUUGAAGGACCAAAAAAAUAGAUAAAUAAAUAAAUAAAAAUGGUGACCA
rnacentral:lncRNA from 1 species